GACGAACGCUGGCGGCGUGCUUAACACAUGCAAGUCGAACGGAAAGGCCCUGCUUGCAGGGUGCUCGAGUGGCGAACGGGUGAGUAACACGUGGGUGAUCUGCCCCUUACUUUGGGAUAAGCCUGGGAAACUGGGUCUAAUACUGGAUAGGACCAUGCUGUAUGUGGUGUGGUGGAAAGAUUAGUUUCGGUAAGGGAUGAGCUCGCGGCCUAUCAGCUUGUUGGUGGGGUAAUGGCCUACCAAGGCGUCGACGGGUAGCCGGCCUGAGAGGGUGGACGGCCACAUGGGGACUGAGAUACGGCCCAGACGCCUACGGGAGGCAGCAGUGGGGAAUAUUGCACAAUGGGCGCAAGCCUGAUGCAGCGACGCCGCGUGGGGGAUGACGGCCUUCGGGUUGUAAACUCCUUUCAGCCAUGACGAAGCCCUUGUGGUGACGGUAGUGGUAGAAGAAGCACCGGCUAACUACGUG
rnacentral:rRNA from 1 species